UACAGGGGGUGCAAACGUUGCUCGGAAUCAUUGGGCGUAAAGCGCACGUAGGCGGUUCGUUAUGUCGGAUGUGAAAGCCCUUGGCUCAACUAAGGAAGUGCAUCCGAAACUGGCAGGCUGGAGUACUAAAGAGGGUCGCGGAAUUCCCGGUGUAGAGGUGAAAUUCGUAGAUAUCGGGAGGAACACCGGUGGCGAAGGCGGCGACCUGGGUAGAUACUGACGCUGAGGUGCGAAAGCGUGGGGAGCAAACAGG
rnacentral:rRNA from 1 species